rnacentral:piRNA from 1 species
UAGCCCUGCUGGCCAUACUGCGUGCCCAGU